UCUAGGAGACAACAUGACAUCCAGUCAUCAUGUCUCCAUAGACUUCUCUUGGGGUGACAAUUUCUAUGAACUUCCUUGUUCUGAUGACCUUGACAGUAUUGAGGAUGACUUGUCAGUUUAUAUAUUUCACUAUUUCCCCUACAUGAUGGCUGAAAUAUAGGAAAUCAAUGAAAUUUUGUCUAUGGGCCAUGUACUUUGCUGCUUGCUAUCUCCAUCCAUUCUGAUCAAGACAUAGGAGACACUGGAAAGAUACCAUGGACUAGGGAUGCCUGGUGGAUAUGUCUGUGGUGAGGACCAGAGCUUCCUUCUCCUUGGCACCUACCAUGGAGGCUCUACUGUGGAUUCAGGAUGCCUGAGGUCCAUGUGAGGAAAA